GCCGGAGUAGCUCAGCUGGUCAGAGCAACGCAUUUGUAAUGCGUAGGUCGUGGGUUCGAAUCCCACCUCCGGCU
rnacentral:tRNA from 1 species